rnacentral:tRNA from 1 species
GCCUUUAUAGUGUAAUGGUAGCACACUCGGCGAGUAUUCAAGAGGCCCAGGUUCGAGUCCCAGCGAGGGCA